UUUUUUGAGUUCUUCCUUUAUCUACCCUGCAGAUCUUUGCUAACACUGUUGCUAUCCCUGUCUUUAGGCUGGUUUGGACAAGAUGUCAAAGGGGCACAUGUUGGCAGAUGUCGUUGCCAUCAUAGGUACUCAGGAUAUUGUGUUUGGAGAAAUAGAUCGAUGAGCAGGAGAACAGCAUUGGAACAGCAUCUGUGGACUGUUCGUCAUUGGAAAGUGUGUGUGUGUGUAUGUGUGUGUGUGUGUAUCCAUCCACUUAACUAUAUACAGGCAUCUGUGCAUGUAUUAGGACAAGAGAAAUUAUAAUAAAUUAGCAGUCUUGCGGCCCUUACGUACAA